rfam:Anopheles minimus strain MINIMTS1 unplaced genomic scaffold supercont1.14, whole genome shotgun sequence.
GCAUCGGCUCUUUUCAGAGCCACCUAUCAGAUUCUAAAAGAUAUUU